CCUACGGGUGGCAGCAGUGAGGAAUAUUGGUCAAUGGGCGCGAGCCUGAACCAGCCAAGUAGCGUGAAGGAUGACUGCCCUACGGGUUGUAAACUUCUUUUAUAAAGGAAUAAAGUGAGGCACGUGUGCCUUUUUGUAUGUUCUUUAUGAAUAAGGAUCGGCUAACUUCGUGCCAGCAGCCGCGGUAAUACGGUGGAUCCGAGCGUUAUCCGGAUUUAUUGGGUUUAAAGGGCGCGUAGAUGGGUUGUUAAGUCAGUUGUAAAAGUUUGCGGCUCAACCGUAAAAUUGCAAUUGAUACUGGCAGCCUUGAGUACAGUGGAGGUAGGCGAAAUUCGUGGUGUAGCGGGGAAAUGCUUAGAUAUCACGAAGAACUCCGAUUGCGAAGGCAGCUUACUAAACUGCCACUGACAUUGAUGCUCGAAAGGGUGGGUAUCAAACAGGAUUAGAACCCGAGUAGUC
rnacentral:rRNA from 1 species